rnacentral:rRNA from 1 species
GACGAACGCUGGCGGCGUGCCUAACACAUGCAAGUCGAGCGAUGAAACUUCCUUCGGGAAGUGGAUUAGCGGCGGACGGGUGAGUAUCACGUGGGCAACCUGCCUCAAAGAGGGGAAUAGCCUUCCGAAAGGAAGAUUAAUACCGCAUAAUAUUAGAAAUUCGCAUGAAUUUCUAAUCAAAGGAGUAAUUCGCUUUGAGAUGGGCCCGCGGCGCAUUAGCUAGUUGGUGGGGUAAUAGCCUACCAAGGCAACGAUGCGUAGCCGACCUGAGAGGGUGAACGGCCACAUUGGAACUGAGAUACGGUCCAGACUCCUACGGGAGGCAGCAGUGGGGAAUAUUGCGCAAUGGGGGAAACCCUGACGCAGCAACGCCGCGUGAGCGAUGAAGGUCUUCGGAUCGUAAAGCUCUGUCUUUUGGGACGAUAAUGACGGUACCAAAAGAGGAAGCCACGGCUAACUACGUGCCAGCAGCCGCGGUAAUACGUAGGUGGCGAGCGUUGUCCGGAAUUACUGGGCGUAAAGGGUGCGUAGGCGGAUAUUUAAGUCAGAUGUGAAAUACCCAGGCUUAACUUGGGAGUUGCAUUUGAAACUGGAUAUCUAGAGUGCAGGAGAGGAAAGCGGAAUUCCUAGUGUAGCGGUGAAAUGCGUAGAGAUUAGGAAGAACACCAGUGGCGAAGGCGGCUUUCUGGACUGUAACUGACGCUGAGGCACGAAAGCGUGGGUAGCAAACAGGAUUAGAUACCCUGGUAGUCCACGCUGUAAACGAUGAAUACUAGGUGUAGGAGGUAUCAUCCCUUCUGUGCCGCAGUUAACACAAUAAGUAUUCCGCCUGGGGAGUACGGUCGCAAGAUUAA